AUGCGGUAUGCUCUGACCUACUAUUCUCUAGACUAUGGACCUUAUCAUUGUUGUCAUUGUGGUUACAUCGAGAUUGUGACCUGGUUAGUGUCUCAGGGCACGCUCCCCAUUUCAAUUCUUCAUUUUGUUUCAUCAACUCUUGCACAUUAGUAGUGAGUGCCUAGAUCUAUUGGGCCAUCACAGUUGGAUCCGUAGGAGGUGAUGAAGUGGAAGUGUCCAUAUGUCUUGAGGAACUUUGCUGGUGGAGAUACGAUGAUGAAUUGCUUGAGAGAAUUGCAACUCAAUCAUUCCUCACAAACAGCGCCAUAUUAAUGAAACAGAAAUUUGCCUUGUCAGUAUGUUCCUCAUUAGUUGAUGGAAAACCUGUCAAACUUGUGUCACAGAAAGCACUCAGUGGAUAGAGGCAUUGGUGUGGGGCCAACCAAGGACCCUUCGAUGCUUAAGUUAGCUUAUUUUAUUUCUAGAAAAACUGUAAUUUGUAUUACUGUGUGUGUUCGUAUCCUUUUUACCUGUUUUCCUGGCUUUAUAUAGCCUUAGGCUGAGUUAAUACUUAGCAGACCAUUGUAUUGUAGCUGGAUAAUCAAUGUUUAAUGAUGGCAAUUUAACUCUUAACAUUUUCUGCUCAUAACCAAUCCUUAAUUCUACAUUAUUGGAUGAAGGCAGUGGCUUUGUGCUAUUCAUUACUCAAUUAUUAAUUACUACAAAGUGUUAAUGCAUGGACGCCCAUCCAUACCCUUACUCAUCACUGUUAGUGACCAUUUGUGAAUGAUAGAUGAUCAUUUGUAUGCUACUCAUCAUUAGUUUUUUGUAUUAUGUUUUAGAACUCAAUAUUUAAAGGGUUUUUUUUUUUUUUUUUUGGGGUAGAUGUUAAUUAAGUGCAGUAUUGGUAUGAGUACAACAAUAAAAGUAAAAGUCAAUAAUGAUUUUAGGGUGUUUUUUCUUUCGGGUGUGGAAGCCCAACUUAAGGCAAUUAUAUUUUGAAAAAUGGAAGUAUUUUUAGCCAAUUUUUCUUUACUUUAUCACAUUCUCUAUAUACCGUUACUUACAAAUAAUUUCCUUUCAUUGAGAUUGAGUAUAUUUCAAUCUCAAAAAGAGCAUUUGUCCUAGAAAAUUUGAAGAACCUUAAAUUUGGUGCUUCAAUGACAAUCUCAAAAUAAAUAUCUGCUUCUUCCAUAUGAUCUUAGUAUAUUUCAAUCUCAAAAAAAGCAUUUGUCCCAGAAUAUUUGGAAAUUAGAUCACAGUAAUCUGCAAACAAACUUGAAAAUUGGUAAGUCCGUUAUAUGUACAAUUGAAAUUCCGUUAUUCAUAUAUAUAUAUAUAAAUUGAACAUUCCGUUAUUCAUAGACAAAUAAAACCUUAAAUUUGGUGCUUCAAUUCCUUUUGUGUGAUGUUUUGUAUAUAAUGUGUUUCUUUUACUUUUUCACCCCUUAAACAUUGGUUUUCAUAUAUUUUUCUAAAAUUUUGAGUUGGCCGAAAUAUAACAAAGAUGAAAAAAGGCAAUACAAGAAUGGAUAGAACAUAUCCACGUUGCUUUAUAUUAUUAUAUAGACCAUGAACACAAUAAUCAUAUAGAUCUUUUGUUAUCAAAUGGAUGGAUCCAUCUAAAUUUGGGACAUUUACGUCAUAAUUUUUACAAAUUACAGCACAUUGUGAGAGAUUGAGAGAGAGAGAGAGAUUUAAUUGUUAUUUUUUACCACAAUUUUUAUUACUAUGUUAUGGUAAGGUGACUUAUAUAAUAGUAUUUUUGGGUCAUUAUUUUCUCACUUGUAACUGGAAAAUUAACCACUACAUCCGUACCUUCGAAUGCAACAAUUUUAUACUCCCUCUUCUCAUAUGAUUAAUGAUUCCUAUUAUGAAUUUGAUCACUAGAAUCUGAUGGGACUGACGAAAUAGAUCCUGCAAGGGGUAAGGCCGACGACGAGGAAGAUCGAUAGUGACGAGAACACACGUCAUUGACGAGGAUAGCUCCUCCAUCAUUACCAUCAGUAAAUGAUAAGGGGCGGUUACACAUCCAGACGAACAGACCGUUGGGACCAACUUAAAGCCACUUAAUAAUGCCAGCAGGCGUUACGCAGAGAGAAGUUAAAGCACCAUAAAUCACCCAACGGCUAAAAUCUACAACAACAUAUAUAAAUCCUUCACAUCCCCCAACGAGAGAGGUAUGAACAUUUUUUUUACAUUGAUGCUGUGUGUUUGUUUUGCUCUCAUAUAAUUCUCGACACUGACUUUAGCAUCGGAGACGUUGUGGCAGGCACCACUCCGGUGACCAUCCAUCAGGAAAGGUCAUUCACGACGUUUCAGUUCGUCUCUGAUCGCAUUCAUUAGCUGACGAAGUCACACUUCAUCAGUUUGGCGCCGUCUAUGGGGAACGACAUUAUUUUCGUGUUCAGACUCAAAACAGUGGUUCCCUAUUCUUGUUCUUUUCAAGAUGGAGUCUAAUCAAGACGCUGCAACCCUGGCUCAACAAGUUCAAGCCCUUGCAGCCACCGUUGAAGAACUAACUAAGCAAAACCAAGAAUUGAGAUUACGGCUUCAGCAAGAGGACAAUCAUUCGAAGGGAAAUCAGGAAGACGAGGAGGAUAGCAACAGAAGAAGUGACCAUCGAAGGACUAACACUCCCGUCGAGCAAAAUUCAGAUAUUCUUAGGGAGAUGAGGAAGGAGAUGGACGAACUAAAAAACGCCAUCAAAGAGAAAACAGAUCGGAGUGUGGAUCGGAUGGUCCGGGCGACGGAUUCACCAUUCACAAUAGCGGUUCUCGACUGCCCAGUGCCGUCGAAAUUUCGGUUACCUCAACUCGAGUCCUUCGACGGGCUGAAGGACCUUCAAGAUCAUCUGAACACCUUCAAGACGACCCUGGGACUACAGCAGCCCCCAGAUGAAAUCUUAUGUCGCUCCUUCCCUACUACACUCAAGGGGGCAGCCCGAGAGUGGUUCACGAAGUUGCCAACAUCGUCAAUCGAUACGUUCGAGCAGUUGAGCAACGCUUUCCUACGUCACUUCAUUGGAGGACAGUGACCAAAGAGGACCGCUAACCAUUUGCUUACCGUCAGGCAGGGAGAAAAAGAAACCUUGAGGUCAUAUGUACAACGUUUCACGAGGGAAACACUGGAGGUAGACGAAGCCGACGAUAUGGUGCAACUGACGACCUUCAAGGCAGGGCUGAGGUUCAGGGAUCUCGUCAGCUCAAUCGCAAAGAACCCCCCAAAGACGAUGGCUGAAAUGCUCCUCAAGGCGCAGAAGUACAUGAACGCUGAAGACGCAUUGGCUGCUAUCAAGGACGAGGACAGACCAGGGGACAAAGGAAGAAAAGAAGAUGAUUGCAGAGGGCAGAAGCGCGACCGUCUAGAUCGUCGAAUCAGUGAUGGACUCAAAAGGAAGGACGACAAAAAUCCACGAACGGUAAAAUUCACCCCUCUCGUUAUGCCUGUUGACAAAAUUUUAGUGCAGAUUAAGGACGAGCAUUAUCUUAAGUGGCCACGACCACUACACUCAUCUCCCAACGUUCGCGACAAAAGUAAAUAUUGCCGAUUCCACAAAGAUCACGGCCACUACAUUGAGGAUUGUAGGGAUCUUAAAGAGCAGAUAGAAGAAUUGAUACGGAGGGGGAAGUUGCAGAAAUUUGUAAAGAAGGGGGAACACAGCAAAUUCUGAGAAGAAAACAAACACCAACAGGGGUCCUCCUCCCGGAAUGACGGCCGUCAAUCACAACCCCCUCAAAACGUAGUCGGGGAAAUACAGACGAUCGCCGGGGGGCCUACCACUGGGGGCUCAUUCAAGUCGCUCAAGAAAACACGUCAACGACAAGUGAAUAGCGUCCACGUGACACACCUGCCAAAGCAGAGACGAACUGAUCAGGAUAUGACCUUCAACGAAAGUGACUCCCGAGGAGUAAAACAGCCACACAAUGAUCCCUUGGUUAUAAAUCUCACUAUAGAAGGGUUCAACACAAAGAGGGUCCUCGUGGACAAUGGUAGCUCUGCUGAUAUCAUUUACUUUUCAGCAUUCCAACAGCUAAGGCUGGAACCCAAGAGACUUCGUCCAUUCGACUCUCCGCUCAUUAGCUUCAGCGGUGAUAGAGUGUAUCCUAGGGGCAUAGUGACGCUGACAGUCACAGUAGGGACAGACCCAAAACAGCUGACUCGUCAGAUAGACUUUCUGGUAGUAGACAGCCCGUCAUCCUAUAAUGUUAUCAUUGGAAGGCCAGCACUCAACAAGUGGAAGGCGUCCACAUCCACGAAUUGCUUGAAGAUGAAGUUCACAACGGAUGACGGUGUUGGUGAAAUUAUAGGAGACCAAGUGCUGGCCCGGGAAUGUUAUCAAGCUGUUCUUGCAGCUAAGGAGAACCACACGUGGAUCGUAGAAGAAAAAGAGGAAGCAAAAGUGGAAAAACUGGAAACGGUAGAGUUGAUCGAAGGGGAAGCGACGAAAACAACCAGAAUAGGGACGACCCUAAGCCCCGAGAUGAGAACGGAGCUCGUAAAGUUUCUUCGGGAGAACUUGGACGUCUUUGCCUGGAACCAUGACGACAUGCCAGGCAUAUCUCCUGAGACCAUCCAACACAGGUUGAAUGUGAAUUCCGGACUGUCCAAACCAGAUUUCAGGUGUGCUCAUCAUCUCUCUUCUCUCCCACCAGCCCCCUAACCCAUCCUAUACAGCAACACUGGACUCCCCCUCCUUUGGGAUGGAUCAAAAUCAAUGUGGAUGCCGUUGUUUCAUCCAACCUCGCCUUCAUUGCUGUUUUCGCAAGGAACCACUUGGGCACCCCUAUCAAAACUUGGGCGAGAACCAUCAGGAAAUCCACCCCUCUCCAAGCUAAAACCAAAGCACUUCUAUGGGCUGUUCAGCUUGCCAGAAUAGAGAAGUGGAGCCAUGUACUAUUCGAAGGAGAUGCCAAGCAGUGCUUUGAUGCCAUCAACGCUCUGGAUUCCCAAGUCCCUUGGGCUAUUCUCACCCCCAUCUCUGAUAUUCGCUGUUUAGCUGUUUAUUUUGUUUCCUUUGCUUUUGUUUGGGUCCCUAGAUCCUGCAAUGGUGCUGCGCACCAUACAGCUAGGACUGCUUUAGACUCUAGGAUGUCUUUUUGUUUCCAUAAGGAUAAUCUUCCUCCUGACUUGUUGGUUGUGUGUAAGGAAGAUUUCCCCAAUUGUAUUUUGUCUUCUUAG
rnacentral:sRNA from 1 species